ACAUCUCUUGGCGGUGGAUCACUCGGCUCGGACGUCGAUGAAGAACGCAGCG
rnacentral:rRNA from 1 species